rfam:Cricetulus griseus cell line CHO-K1, whole genome shotgun sequence.
GAACAUGAGGGCAAUCUGGCUAUGAUAUCUGUCAUUCCAUUGAUCUUCAGGGUUGACUCAACUGAUCUGGCAGGCUAGGAGGGUGUCCCCUUCUCCCUGCCUCACUGCUCCAUGUAGGUCCCUCCAGGAGCUGCACGUCCAAUCAAAGAGGAGGACCUUCCUUAAACAGAGUCAAGGGUAUAGAAGUAGCUGUGCUCCCCUGCGAGAACCUUCAAACAAGCUCUCAAGGUCCAAAUGCUUGUUUGCAAGGUCCACACUGUGCUGAUGU